GGGCUAGAAUGUAUUUCGCUACCCAAAAUUAGGGGUUCCUUCGGGACGGGACACAAGGUGCUGCAUGGCUGUCGUCAGCUCGUGCCGUGAGGUGUUGGGUUAAGUCCUAUAACGAGCGCAACCCUCUUACCUAAUUGCCAGCACGUAACGGUGGGAACUUUAGGUAGACUGCCCGCGCAAGCGGGAGGAAGGAGAGGAUGAGGUCAAGUCAUCAUGGCCUUUAUGCCCAGGGCUACAAACGUACUACAAUGGCGUGUACAGAGGGACGCUACUUGGCAACAAGAUGCAAAUCUCAAAAGCACGUCUCAGUUCGGAUUGGGGUCUGCAAUUCGACCCCAUGAAGUUGGAAUCGCUAGUAAUCGCGUAUCAGCAAUGACGCGGUGAAUACGUUCUCGGACCUUGUACACACCGCCCAUCAAGCCAUGGGAGUUGGUAGAGCUUGAGAACAGUGGNA
rnacentral:rRNA from 1 species